rnacentral:lncRNA from 1 species
GGGGCCCAGCACUGCCUGCCCAGCUGCAGGAUGGGACUGAGAGAUGGGGAUGAGGCUAAGCAAAGGCAGGGGUCAGGAAGGACGACUCCAGCAGGACUCGCCAGACGGAAGGAAGCCUGCGUGCCUGGAACGGGAGGGUAGGCAGCAGUGGUGGGAGGGAGAGGAGUCCCAGGGCUCACGGAAACUAGAAUGCCCCAUUUUCCCCUCAAAGGGGCACUGCCCCGGGGCCUGCACCAGCCAGAUGACCCAGAGGAGUGGUUUAUUUAUUCCACAGGCAGGUUAGAGCUGGAGGGAGGAGAAACCCACUGAGUCAGCCCAUACCCUGAAGGUUGAGACCCCCUCCUGUGCCAGGUAUCUGGACGGCAAGGACAGCCUGCCCUCGCUCUCCGGUGGCUCGCAGGCUUGUGGGGGGCAGCUGGGUCCACAGGGAGCCAGCGGUGGGAGGCUGGAAGCCUGGGCACUGUGUGUCCCCAUAGGAGCCCCAGCACCGCCUGGAGGAUGUCAGGGAUGCGUUCCAGGAGGAGUCAGCCACCCAGCCGAGACACAGAGCCAGGGCACCCCCAGUGCCAGCCCGGCCCACCGGGGACUUUUCCCACGAAGCUGAAUCUGGCUGAGCACCACGCCGCUGUGGCCACCGCCUCCUCUUCCUCUUCCUGUCCUCCCUUCCCUCACCCCGUGCACCCCCCACAACGGUACCCACCCACCUUUGGGCCUGGGGCCACACCUCACGCACUCUCUCAGAGGGGAGCCUGCAGAGCCACUAUCUCCCGGCUCCAUCUCUCCUCUAGUGCCCCAAGGCCUCUGGGAGUCUCUCGCCCACCACCUCCUUGCUUUCUUGGGCACUAGGAGUCGUCACAGCUCUCCUGUCUGUGGGGUCUCAGAGACCUGUGUGGAACUGCCCUGGGCCCACUGUGGAGAUGCCUAAAGCUCUUCUUCUUGGGGUCCUGCUGCUCUUGUUAAGUGGGCUUGUGAUACCCUACCUUGUUUUAGCCUGAAUUGACUCUCCCUUUGCUAAGAGAGCCAGACAGACUCCAUCUUGGCUCACUUCAUUUGCAGCCGUUUACCCACCCUCCUUCCUCAAGGACUUGUGCAAGCUGACUCCCAGCACAUCCAAGAAUGCAAUUAACUGAGAAGAUACUGUGGCAAGCUUUAUCCGCAGUUCCCAGGAAUUCUCCUGGUUAAUAGUACCCAGAGCCCCCGUGUUUGUGUCCGGUUGGUAACGCCCAAAGCCCCGUGUCUUUCACCUUGUGAUAGAUUUAAAGCCCCUGCACCUGGAACGGUUUGCCUUCCUGUAACCAUUUAUCCUUUUAACUUUUUGCCUGCUUUACUUCUGUAAGAUUAUUUUAACUAGACCCUGCCCCCUCCCCUUUCUAAAGCAAAGUAUAGAAGAAAAUCAAGCCCCUUCUUCGGGUCUGAGAGAAUUUUGAGCACUAACCGUCUCUCGGUCGCCGGCUAAUAAAGGACUCCUGAAU